rnacentral:rRNA from 1 species
AGUGAACGCUGGCGGUAGGCCUAACACAUGCAAGUCGAACGGCAGCACAGUAAGAGCUUGCUCUGACGGGUGGCGAGUGGCGGACGGGAGAGGAAUACAUCGGACUCUACUUUUUCGGGGGGGAUAACGUAGGGAAACUUACGCUAAUACCGCAUACGACCUACGGGUGAAAGCAGGGGAUCUUCGGACCUUGCGCGAUUGAAUGAGCCGAUGUCGGAUUAGCUAGUUGGCGGGGUAAAUGCCCACCAAGGCGACGAUCCGUAGCUGGUCUGAGAGGAUGAUCAGCCACCCUGGAGCUGAGACACGGUCCAGACUCCUACGGGAGGCAGCAGUGGGGAAUAUUGGACAAUGGGCGCAAGCCUGAUCCAGCCGUACCGCGUGGGUGAAGAAGGCCUUCGGGUUGUAAAGCCAGUUUGUUGGGAAAGAAAAGCAGCAGGUUAAUACGCCGCUGUUCUGACGGUACCCAAAGAAUAAGCACCGGCUAACUUCGUG